rnacentral:lncRNA from 1 species
CUUUUCUUAGAAGCCCCAAUUCAAAAUUGUCCCUCUGAAUCUUCAUUCAAUACCACCUCAUCAUGUUUCAUGUGGGCACUUAAUAUAUGAAGGGACUGAUGGAAGGGAUGUUUUCUGGAAACAUCUGGAAAGAAAGAUAAAAGCAAAUCCCAGAAAUUAUAAUGUAGUUAAGGACCUAUGGAUGUGAAAAAAAAAAAAAUUCUGGCAGGUGUCUAAAAACAAGCAAAGUCCAAUUAGCUGGAGAAUUUUUCCCUGUGAUGUUUGAUGAUGUUUGAUGUUUGAUGAGCUAGAACUAUAACCAGCAUUUUAUUUCUAAAUGACUUUCAGGGAAAUCUCAAAUGUUUCAUAAACACUGAUAAAGACUUAGAACCUGUCUUAGAAGAAGACUUG